rnacentral:rRNA from 1 species
AUUGAACGCUGGCGGCAUGCCUUACACAUGCAAGUCGAACGGCAGCACGGGUGCUUGCACCUGGUGGCGAGUGGCGAACGGGUGAGUAAUACAUGGGUACACGUCCCGUAGUGGGGGAUAGCCCGGCGAAAGCCGGAUUAAUACCGCAUACGAUCUACGGACGACAGCGGGGGACCUUCGGGCCUCGCGCUAUAGGGUUGGCCGAUGGCUGAUUAGCUAGUUGGUGGGGUAAAGGCCUACCAAGGCGACGAUCAGUAGCUGGUCGGAGAGGACGACCGGCCACACUGGAACUGAGACACGGCCCAGACUCCUACGGGAGGCAGCAGUGUGGAAUUGUGGGCAAUGGGCGAAAGCCUGAUCCAGCAAUGCCGCGUGUGUGAAGAAGGCCUUCGGGUUGUAAAGCACUUUUGUCCGGAAAGAAAUCCUUGGCCCUAAUACGGACGGUGGAUGACGGUACCGGAAGAAUAAGCACCGGCUAACUACGUG